AUUGAACGCUGGCGGCAUGCUUUACACAUGCAAGUCGAACGGUAACAGGCCUUCGGGUGCUGACGAGUGGCGAACGGGUGAGUAAUGCAUCGGAACGUGCCCAAUCGUGGGGGAUAACGUAGCGAAAGUUACGCUAAUACCGCAUAAGCCCUGAGGGGGAAAGCAGGGGAUCGCAAGACCUUGCGCGAAUGGAGCGGCCGAUGUCAGAUUAGCUAGUUGGUGGGGUAAAGGCCUACCAAGGCGACGAUCUGUAGCGGGUCUGAGAGGAUGAUCCGCCACACUGGGACUGAGACACGGCCCAGACUCCUACGGGAGGCAGCAGUGGGGAAUUUUGGACAAUGGGCGCAAGCCUGAUCCAGCCAUGCCGCGUGCGGGACGAAGGCCUCGGUUGUAACCGACGUUUCAGCCGGAAGAAUACGCCAAGGCUAAUAUACCUUGGUGGA
rnacentral:rRNA from 1 species